rnacentral:misc_RNA from 1 species
AUGGAUGAAUUGAAGAGUUUUCUCAAGCAGGCAGGAAAAGAAUUCCUAAAUGUGGCCGGUGAUGCAGCAGUGGGUGCGGCAAAAGAAGUUGUCGGCUCGGUCAUCAACGAAAUAUUUAUUAAAAAAGAGGCUGAUACCAAACGUGUUCUUCCAAGCAUUAAAAAUAUGCGUGUGCUUGGCGAAAAGGGCAGCGGUACACGGGUGCAAGCAGACAUCCAAGACUUUGAGUCCAUCCGGAGCAUGUGCCUAGCAAACGGCUCCUUAUUUGAGGAUCCGCUGUUUCCAGCCAACAACGAGUCUCUUCUGUUUUCACAACGACCCGAUCGACACAUUGAAUGGAUGAGACCGCAUGAGAUCGCUGAUGAUCCACAAUUCUUCGUGGAGGGCUAUUCGCGUUUCGAUGUGCAACAAGGCGAAUUGGGCGACUGUUGGUUGCUCGCCGCCACUGCCAAUCUAACGCAGGAUCCAAAUCUAUUCUUUCGCGUUGUGCCACCAGAUCAAAGNUUCGAGGAAAGUUACGCUGGUAUUUUUCACUUUUGCUUUUGGCAGUAUGGUAAAUGGAUUGAUGUGGUGGUCGACGAUCGUCUGCCGACAUAUCGNGGCGAAUUGAUGUAUAUGCAUUCCACUGAGAAGAACGAGUUUUGGAGUGCACUGUUGGAGAAAGCCUAUGCCAAAUUACAUGGCUCAUAUGAAGCACUAAAGGGCGGCACCACUUGUGAGGGUAUGGAAGAUUUUACCGGCGGUGUAACGGAAUGGUAUGACCUUAAAGAGGCACCGCCAAAUCUAUUCAACAUUUUACAUAAAGCUGUCGAUCGUAACUCCUUAAUGGGUUGCUCCUUAGAGCCCGAUCCGAAUGUUUUGGAGGCUGAGACGCCACAAGGGCUGAUACGUGGCCACGCAUACUCGAUAACGAAAGUUUGUUUACUCGAUAUUGCUGUACCCAAUCGGCAAGGUAAAAUACCAAUGAUACGUAUGCGUAAUCCCUGGGGUAAUGAGGCCGAAUGGAAUGGUCCGUGGAGUGAUAGUUCACCCGAAUGGCGUUAUAUACCCGAAGAUCAGAAACAGGAAAUCGGUUUAACAUUUGAUCGUGAUGGUGAAUUUUGGAUGUCAUUUCAAGAUUUCCUCAAUCAUUUCGAUCGUGUUGAAAUCUGUAAUUUAUCACCUGAUUCACUUACCGAGGAGCAGCAAAAUAGCGGUAAACGACGUUGGGAAAUGUCUAUGUUUGAGGGUGAAUGGACGCAAGGUGUAACAGCUGGUGGUUGUCGUAACUUUUUAGACACCUUUUGGCAUAAUCCACAGUAUGUAAUAACACUAGCCGAUCCGGAUGAAGAUGAUGACGAUGGNAAGUGUACGGUUAUUGUAGCGCUGAUGCAAAAGAAUCGUCGUUCCAAGCGUAAUAUGGGCAUGGAAUGUUUGACAAUCGGUUUUGCCAUUUAUCAUCUAAGCGAAGAUGACUUACACACCCGACCACAGGGUGUGAAUUUCUUUAAAUAUCGUGCAUCCGUUGGACGUUCGCCACAUUUCAUUAAUACCCGUGAGGUUUGUGCACGUUUUAAGCUACCACCUGGUCAUUACUUAAUUGUACCAUCAACCUUUGAUCCAAAUGAGGAAGGUGAAUUCGUUAUUCGUGUUUUCUCGGAAACUCAGAAUAACAUGGAAUCCUUCCAAUACUACUAAUACACCAGAGAGAAUGACGACCAUGUUGGAUAUGGAAGCCCGACUGAUGAUAAGGUGUUGCCAAAUCUUCCAAACCCAAUGGAUCCCAGACCGAACGAAGGACAUAA